rnacentral:rRNA from 1 species
GCUAGUAAUGGCAGGUCAGCAUACUGCCGUGAAUACGUUCCCGGGCCCUUGUACACACCGCCCGUCACACCAUGAGAGUUGGGAAUACCCGAAGCCUGUGAGCUAACGAAAGAGGCAGCAGUCGAAGGUAGAAUCAAUGAUUGGGGUGAAGUCGUAACAAGGUAGC